UGGAUCCUGAGUACGACGGAGCACGUGAAAUUCCGUCGGAAUCUGGGAGGACCAUCUCCUAAGGCUAAAUACUCUCUAGUGACCGAUAGUGAACCAGUACCGUGAGGGAAAGGUGAAAAGUACCCCGGAAGGGGAGUGAAAGAGAACUUGAAACCGUGUGCUUACAAGUAGUCAGAGCCCGUUAAUGGGUGAUGGCGUGCCUUUUGUAGAAUGAACCGGCGAGUUACGAUCUGAUGCAAGGUUAAGCAGAAAAUGUGGAGCCGUAGCGAAAGCGAGUCUGAAUAGGGCGAAUGAGUAUUUGGUCGUAGACCCGAAACCAGGUGAUCUACCCUUGGUCAGGUUGAAGUUCAGGUAACACUGAAUGGAGGACCGAACCGACUUACGUUGAAAAGUGAGCGGAUGAACUGAGGGUAGCGGAGAAAUUCCAAUCGAACUUGGAGAUAGCUGGUUCUCUCCGAAAUAGCUUUAGGGCUAGCCUCAAGUGAUGAUUAUUGGAGGUAGAGCACUGUUUGGACGAGGGGCCCCUCUCGGGUUACCGAAUUCAGACAAACUCCGAAUGCCAAAUAAUUUAACUUGGGAGUCAGAAUGUGGGUGAUAAGGUCCAUAUUCGAAAGGGAAACAGCCCAGACCACCAGCUAAGGUCCCAAAAUAUAUGUUAAGUGGAAAAGGAUGUGGCGUUGCCCAGACAACUAGGAUGUUGGCUUAGAAGCAGCCAUCAUUUAAAGAGUGCGUAAUAGCUCACUAGUCGAGUGACACUGCGCCGAAAAUGUACCGGGGCUAAACAUAUUACCGAAGCUGUGGAUUGUCCUUUGGACAAUGGUAGGAGAGCGUUCUAAGGGCGUUGAAGCAUGAUCGCAAGGACAUGUGGAGCGCUUAGAAGUGAGAAUGCCGGUGUGAGUAGCGAAAGACGGGUGAGAAUCCCGUCCACCGAUUGACUAAGGUUUCCAGAGGAAGGCUCGUCCGCUCUGGGUUAGUCGGGUCCUAAGCUGAGGCCGACAGGCGUAGGCGAUGGAUAACAGGUUGAUAUUCCUGUACCACCAUUAUUCGUUUUAAGCGAUGGGGGGACGCAGUAGGAUAGGCGAAGCGUGCUGUUGGAG
rnacentral:rRNA from 1 species